rnacentral:lncRNA from 1 species
GGCCAUGUAAGACAUACCUCCUUCCUCUUUGCCUUCCACCAUGAUUGUAUAUUUCCUGAGACCUCUCCAGCCAUGCUUCCCGUACAGCCUUGGCCUUGCUAACAAGUUUACCUCCAAACUAUGAGAUUUCAGAAGGAAAACCAAGAGCCAUCUCUGCAUAUGUGAGAGCGGGCAAAGGAAAUGUGACAAGGAGAAGAAAGAAGACACACUUGGGCAAUGAUGAUGGGAAGAAGGAAGCACAGGAGAAAAUCCCAUGAGGAAGAUCCAAAGAGAACUUUGGCCUUAACUAAGCUUCCUACAUUCUCCUGGAGUCGGUGGUUUAUGAAUGUGGUGCCAUCUGGGGAACUGACAACCCCUGAUGUGUUCACUCUGCUCGUCUUCCAGGUGAGAGAAGAAGAAGGCGAGAAAGAAAGAGAAGUUCCAGAAUUUCACAGGCUGAGGGAGAUGGUAGUAACUUCUGUUUAUGUUGGUUUCUGUUUAUUGGUUUGCUUUUUAUUUUGAACUCGUUUGACUUCAGGUUCCAGAUUUGUUUUUUUCUUUGUAAACGAGACUUUGACAUUGUUAGCAGGCCCAUCUGUUUGCUUUUCUUAAAUAAAAUGUAAAUUGGUUUUUGUUUUAAAUUUCA